rnacentral:tmRNA from 1 species
GGGAGCGACUUGGCUUCGACAGGAGCAGAGUGUGUACGGUGGCACGUCGCUUUGAGCAAAGCGUAAAAAGCUCAAAUUAAAUUUAAACGCAAACAACGUUAAUUUCGCUCCUGCUUACGCUAAAGCUGCGUAAGUUCAGUUGAGCCUCGCUUUGUCUUAUUCUAGCUAGGAUGUAAGCGAGUAAUUUAGCUAGAGUAGGCCAGCAAAGUGACUGCUUGCUAGCUGAAAUUUUAGUCUUAGUCUAAAUUUUGGUUUUGGAAAGUGAGCCUUUUUAGAUGAAAUUUUCACUUUUUGCUAAGCGUGUAGAGGCUGUAUGGAUUUUGUUUUUGGACAGGGGUUCGAUCCCCCUCGCUUCCACCA